AUUGAACGCUGGCGGCAGGCCUAACACAUGCAAGUCGAGCGAGCGGCGGACGGGUGAGUAAUGUAUGGGGACUGCCCGAUAGAGGGGGAUAACUACUGGAAACGGUGGCUAAUACCGCAUACUAUCGGAUAACCCAUAUGGGAUUAGCUAGUAGGUGGGGUAAAGGCUCACCUAGGCGACGAUCCCUAGCUGGUCUGAGAGGAGGAUCAGCCACACUGGGACUGAGGCACGGCCCAGACUCCUACGGAGGCAGCAGUGGGGAAUAUUGCACGAUGGGCGCAAGCCUGAUACAGCCAUGCCGCGUGUAUGACGAAGGCCUUCGGGUUGUAAAGUACUUUCAGUCGGGAGGCGUUACCGACAGAAGAAGCACCGGCGAACUCCGUGCCGGCCGACGCGGUAAUUC
rnacentral:rRNA from 1 species